rnacentral:misc_RNA from 1 species
AACCUUAUGGACCUGCGGGCGUAUACCUGCGGAGGGAUCAUUACUGAGUGAGGGCUCACGCCCGACCUCCAACCCUUUGUGAACCAAACUUGUUGCUUCGGGGGCGACCCUGCCGACGACUCCGUCGCCGGGCGCCCCCGGAGGUCUUCUAAACACUGCAUCUUUGCGUCGGAGUUUAAACAAAUUAAACAAAACUUUUAGCAACGGAUCU